GAUGAACGCUGGCGGUAUGCUUAACACAUGCAAGUCGAACGGACUCUUCGGAGUUAGUGGCGGACGGGUGAGUAACGCGUGAGAAUCUGGCUUUGGGUUCGGGACAACCACUGGAAACGGUGGCUAAUACCGGAUGUGCCGAGAGGUAAAAGAGAAAUUGCCUGAAGAUGAGCUCGCGUCUGAUUAGCUAGUUGGUGAGGUAAAGGCUCACCAAGGCAGCGAUCAGUAGCUGGUCUGAGAGGAUGACCAGCCACACUGGGACUGAGACACGGCCCAGACUCCUACGGGAGGCAGCAGUGGGGAAUUUUCCGCAAUGGGCGAAAGCCUGACGGAGCAAUACCGCGUGAGGGAAGAAGGCUCUUGGGUUGUAAACCUCUUUUCUUAGGGAAGAACAAAAUGACGGUACCUAAGGAAUCAGCAUCGGCUAACCCCGUG
rnacentral:rRNA from 1 species